rnacentral:lncRNA from 1 species
UUGAAAAAGAAUAAGUAGAUGGAUUGGAUGAGAGAAAGGGGUUUUUGGAGCAAAACCCUAGAUCGCAAGUGAAGGAUCGAAUUCAUGACGAAACUUGAAGAGGCUUUUACAAAUUCCUUCAAAAAGCCAUUUGAGUCGGAGCUGAAGCUUGGAGAAGACGCUGAAUCUUGGAAACCCUAGUAUGUGAAUGAAAGGAGCGGGUUGUUCUUUAUAUAUGGAAUGAACUUAUCGGACCCAAAUGAGUGAUUCGGAUCCCGUGUCGGGUUAAUUCAAGGGAAAUGAGGAGAAUGCAUAUUUUGGCGGGAAAAUGAGUUUUAGAGGCCCUAGGAGGAG